CAGCAGUCGCCGCGGUAAAACGGAGGGUGCAAGCGUUAAUCGGAAUUACUGGGCGUAAAGCGCACGCAGGCGGUCUGACAAGUCAGAUGUGAAAUCCCCGGGCUUAACCUGGGAACUGCAUUUGAAACUGUCAGGCUGGAGUCUUGUAGAGGGGGGUAGAAUUCCAGGUGUAGCGGUGAAAUGCGUAGAGAUCUGGAGGAAUACCGGUGGCGAAGGCGGCCCCCUGGACAAAGACUGACGCUCAGGUGCGAAAGCGUGGGGAGCAAACAGGAUUAGAUACCCGCGUAGUCCCUGUCUCUUAUAC
rnacentral:rRNA from 1 species